rfam:Parcubacteria group bacterium RIFCSPLOWO2_01_FTLL_48_18 rifcsplowo2_01_scaffold_2476, whole genome shotgun sequence.
GCGCGAGUGGCGGAACUGGAAUACGCGUAUGGUUGAGGGCCAUAUACCGAAAGGUUUGAGGGUUCGAAUCCCUCCUCGCGCA